rnacentral:rRNA from 1 species
AAUAUUGCACAAUGGGCGAAAGCCUGAUGCAGCGACGCCGCGUGAGGGAUGAAGGCCUUCGGGUUGUAAACCUCUUUCAGCAGGGAAGAAGCGAAAGUGACGGUACCUGCAGAAGAAGCACCGGCUAACUACGUGCCAGCAGCCGCGGUAAUACGUAGGGUGCAAGCGUUGUCCGGAAUUAUUGGGCGUAAAGAGCUUGUAGGCGGUUUGUCGCGUCUGCUGUGAAAUUUCGGGGCUCAACCCCGAACUUGCAGUGGGUACGGGCAGACUAGAGUGUGGUAGGGGAGACUGGAAUUCCUGGUGUAGCGGUGAAAUGCGCAGAUAUCAGGAGGAACACCGAUGGCGAAGGCAGGUCUCUGGGCCACUACUGACGCUGAGAAGCGAAAGCAUGGGGAGCGA